rnacentral:rRNA from 1 species
CAAAGGUUUGGUCCUGGCCUUCCUAUUAGUUAUUGACAGAAUUACACAUGCAAGCCUCCACAUCCCGGUGAAGAUGCCCUCUAAAUCUAUUAAACGAUUAAAAGGAGCGGGCAUCAGGCACACUAAAUAAGUAGCCCAUAACGCCUUGCUCAACCACACCCCCACGGGAUACAGCAGUGAUAAAAAUUAAGCCAUGAACGAAAGUUUGACUAAGCCAUGUUAAUAUUAAGAGUUGGUAAAUUUCGUGCCAGCCACCGCGGUCAUACGAUUAACCCAAAUUAAUAGGCUCACGGCGUAAAACGUGCUAAGGAUUACAAAACACUAAAGUUAAAAUUUAACCAGGCCGUAAAAAGCUACUGUUAAUAUAAAAUAUACCACGAAAGUGACUUUAUCAUCUCCAACAACACGAUAGCUGGGAUCCAAACUGGGAUUAGAUACCCCACUAUGCCCAGCCCUAAACACAAACAAUUUACACAACAAAAU